AGCCUCGCAUUCAUUAUUGUAUCCGCUUUAAUACUAUUCCUUAAUAGCUUGAAGCACCCGGGCUGUAUACGGCGAGGGCUGACAGAGUGGGCGGCCGGGUGGGCAUCUCUCUAGGGAACUGUUGGACUAAACUCAGCUGGGGAUGGUUCCAGUUAGGCCGCUGUCUGCUGGAGAUAGCACACGCCGAUGGAGAAGUAAACGGAUGUGGAAGAAAGUGGGGCCGGGCCCAGGGAGAGAAUUUAAGUUUGUCCUGCAGCUGAAUGGGCCUGCCAAGUGGGCGAAGAGAAAGUUUUGACUCUCGUUCAGAAAUGGCCCUAAACGAAUACAUUCAAUACUUAACUCUUCAGAGGCCGUGGCCGAGAUAGAACUGGACUGUUUCUGGAAGGGAAUUCACCGCACUACAUCUUAAGAGUCUUUGUGGGUUCUGACUGGGAAAUCAGGGAUUAGAACCCUGACUAAAUCGAAGAUGAUUACGCGGAGUUUUGAAUUCGAGAACCUUGAUCCUAAUCUGCCUUCUACUAUAUAAUGCCUGGUGAGAAAAUGAGAAUAAAAGUAGAUGUGAUAAAGACUAAUUUGGAGAUUGUUUAGAGGCUGAUUCUUAGAGGUGGGAGUAGGCUUAAUCAAAAUAGGUGCCAGAAGUUUCUCAACCAGACAGAGCGCUCAAACUGUGUAGUUAGCCAACAACGAACCUAGGUUAAAUUUAUCUGUUUAAACGUAAUGAGUUUUUGUGUCAGUCUGACAAUCAAAUCACCUCUAUUAUCAUGCACUGGGCCCAUAGUUUGGAACCAUUCUUAAUAAUGAAGUGCUCCUGAGGAGAACUCUUAACUACUUGUUCUUGCCUUGAAAUCAGUUUUCUAAUUCGUGAUUUGAAAAUAAUAUAAGAAGCAAUUAAAAACAAAUUUAGUUGAAUAGCAGUCAGAAUGUUCUUAGUAUAGAUACAUAUGAUUGCUAUAGAUUUAAUUGUUUUUUUGCUGACUAAGCAUUGUUCUGCAAUCAAAGGAGUUCAUAAAUUGAUUUUUUGUAGUUCCCUAAAUUUUUAUUCCCAGGGAAUAAGCUGAAUUACCCAGCCCUCCUUGUAUGUCUAAUUUGUUUGUUUUUCCCCAAGAUUCAAUAUACUUGAAAAUAUUUUAUAAACUGGCCUCAUAUAAAAUGCCACUUUUAAAGGAAAUAGUAACAAGAUUUUACUGUUUAUGAAACAUAUCACAUAAGGAAAGGCUUUUUUUUUUUUUUUUUUUGGUUUCAUAUUGAUACAGGCCAUUGUCUAUUUUUUAGCUUUCCUAUUGUCUUACUUUCCAUGUUCAUUUGGGAUCUAUAGCAAUUUAUUUCUCUUUCUGACUCUGCCACUUAUGAGUACUUCUGUUGCUUCAUAUAUAUAUUUCCACUAACAGUUAUUUAUUACAUUAUGAAUUUGCCUUUUAUUAACCCAAUCUUUGUCAUUAAAUCUUAGAAAAUAUUUAUAGUGGGGAGCCAAGAUGGUAGAGUGAAGCCAGAAAGCUGCCUGAGCUUUCCUAGUUUACCUCAAAAACCAUAUGAAACCAAGCUUCUGAAUAGUCAGAUGGAAUGAAACCAGUCUCCGGAUCAAGAUAUAUUCAAAGGAUUUCAAGAAAGAUCAGUCUCACUGGGAUGAAAAAUGAUCAGUCUAGACCAUACAUUUUGUGGAAAAGCCAGUGUGGAAAAACCCUGCUGUUCUUGGAGAGAGUAGGCAGGACUACCCCUGCUGUGAGCAAGACACCAAAUACAAAGGGGCCCCCGUGCUCAAAGCCAAGGCUGACACCUGCACAUAAAGUUUGGGACAGCACCCCCUGCACUCCAGGAGCAGAGGUUAACCAUAAAAUAGGAGAAAAAAAGAGAAAGAAAGAAAAUGAGCAAGAAACAGAAAAGAAACUAUAGAAAGCUAUUGUGGUAGUAGGGACGACAAAAACACCAGCUCAGAUAAGAGGUCCACAGAGGAAAUCUCAAAAAGUGACAUGAAUUGGUCCCAAGCCCAAAGAAGCUUCUUAAUGGUAUUUAUAAAAGAUUUUAAAAGUCAAAUAAUAGAGGCAGAAGAAAAAUUAGGAAGAGAAAUGAGAGAUAUGUAAAGAGAAGAAAUAGCCUGGAAAAAGAAGAACAAAAGUCGACUGAAGAAAAUAAUUCUUAAAAAAAUUAUACUUGGCCAAAUACAAAAAAAAAAAAAAAAAAUCCACUGAAGAAAUUAAUUCCUUAAAAAACACAAUUGGCCAAAUGCAAAUAUAUUUAUAGUGGGAAAGACUUUUUUUCCAAAAGUACUUAUUGAUCUGGGUUUUGGGCACAAGUCAGAAAAUACAACUUGGUUAAUGAAAAUUAAAUGGAUAAGAUUUUCUAGAUGUUCUUUCACUAUUAAAGGAUUACUGGCUGACUCUCAGGCUGGUCUUCACAUCUUAAUAAUAUCAUCACAGAUCUGGUUGGUAACUUUGCAGAUUUAGGACUUUAAUUUUACUAUUUCAUCUAGGAGGAAUUUAUUCCUUUUAACUAAGUUCACAAAAUAAUUUAUAAAACAGGAUGCUAAGUUAGGAAAUAAUCAUAGAAACUAUCAGAAGAAGCAUUUUGUUGUAGUAAAUAGAGAACAAGCUCUCAAAGACAAGAAAAUCUGUGUUGGCAUCCUGCCACUGGUUGUAUGACUUUGAGCUAGUCAUUUCACUUUUCAGUGACUCCAGGUCAUUUCCUUUAAACUAGUAAAUUGUAAAGUAGUUGUUGAUCUCUUUUGAAAGCAGGAAGUUUUCUUCACAAAGAGUUCCUGAUAUGAAUGGACACCAUUUCUCUGGACUAAAAAGAAAAUUUAAAACUCCUUAUCUCUUAGAAUAGCUAGUACCAAUCAUUUGCACAGAGUACUCUUGAUAGCUAAAUCCAAAUCAUGAGAUAAAAUUCUAAAUCAGAUGAUUUCAAUUCAGCAAGUACCUACUAUGUCUCAGGCAUUAUGUUAGGUAUUAAGAAUAUAAAAGCAGUGGUUUACAUUCUAUUGGAGACAACAUAUAUAUAGAUAAGGAGGGAAAAUAAAAUAUUAGGAGAGGGGAAGAACACUAAGGCAGGAUAGGGCAUGGAAAGGGGAGGUAGUAUGGAUAAAGAAAGGAUUUGUUUAGGAGUACUUAAGUGGAGCUAAGGGAUUUUAAGAGGCAGUGCUGAAGAGGAAGGAGAUCUUGUAUGGAAUAUUAUUGGAAUGUAUGUAUAGGAAAUACAUCCAAUUAAAAUAUAUUGGAAACAACAAAUUGGCCAGUUUGGUUAGAAUGUAGAUUAUAUGGGAAAGAGUAUUGAGAAAUCUGUGGGGGGAAAAAAAAUUGGAGCCAAAUAGUGAAGGACUUUAAAUGCCAAAGAAGUUUAUAUUUUAUUCCAGGGAUCACUGGGGAUGAUAGAAUCUGCUUCAACAUAGGAAUGAUGUAGACCUGUACAGUAGGAAUCUCAGAUUUGCUGCAUCAGUGGGGAAGAAUCCUGCUCUUCAGAAAAAAAAAUAUUCUAAUCAGCAAAAUGAUGUUAUGGGCCAGAACUCUGAAACAAGGAUUCUUACAAGGUGUUAAGUCAGUUGAAUUGACUUAAUAGUUCUCUACUUUAAUACAUGUACUUAGUACUUAUAUAGUUCCACAAGAUUCACACUUAUGAUAAUGGAGCAUAUAACAGCCAGCAAAGGCAGAAACAGAUUCAUUCCAUCGUCCACCUUUGUGGUGGCUGAAGGUUGAAGCACAAAUCUUUGGACUCAGAGAGAUUCAUUCACUUCAUCUCACAUCACCUUUGUGGCAGGUUCUCCUCCUUCACUUCUCCACUGAAACCAAGACUUGGGAAGGCCUCCAGAAAACUAGCCAAGCCCCAAGUGAAGGAAUGGGACUUUGAAGGAGACAAUAAAGGAUUUGGACUUUAACACCUGGCUGCACUUGUGGUGAUUACUCGGACUGAAAAGAAGGCUGCCCCCAAAGACCUCCAGGAAAUCAAACAGAGAAUAUUACACAAUACAGUGUCUUCAAAGUAUUUGUUCAAUUUGUGAGACUUUCUACAAGUGUAAGAAAGAAUAUUUCUGAGAAUGUGUUGUUUUAUAUAUUUCUCUAUCUCUUUACAAUUUUAUUGUAUUGAAUCUCAUUUAAUCUCUGUAGUUUUGACUCAAAGUAACAAUAUAGUAGUUAAUGGGAUAAUGUAUUAAUUUACUGACUUAUCCAAUGCACUCACACAUUAGGUCUUACUAAGGUUUAAAUAGUUGGAUGUAGGAAUAAAUGGCAUGCAGUAUAAGUAAUUGAAUUGAUUAUCAUUAAUGGUCAAUUUUUGUAGUUUAUUCAGGCUUCUGAAUGGUCUCUUAUGAAUAUAUUUAUGACUUUGGUCUUAGAAAACCUGAAAUAACCAAUUUCCUCUAGUAAGUAUAGAAUAAUCUUGUGACUAUAAAAUCUUUAAGGAUUUUUUUGUCUAUUAGAUUUAUAUAAAAUGUUGUUUUUGAGAUAAAAGCAUUUCAUUACAUAAGUUUAAAAUAACUGAUUUUGAGAGGAUGAAAGAAGGGCAAUGUCUGGACCUCUAAUUAUAAGUAUAGGGAUCUUCUAAUAAGCAAUUUCCUUUCUUAAUGCAAAUCUACAAUUGAUGUAGUCUUAAAAAGUUACCUGGGACACUGAAAAAUUAAAUAACUUGUCUAAAGUUAACAAUUAAUAUGAAUAGAAAGAAGAGAAGAACCAUUCUAAUGUCAGCAUCAUAAGCCCUAAGCAUGGUUUAAAAUGUAAAAUUAAAUAAUUCUUGGAAUUUAUUAUAAGGAGACUUGUAUCUGUAUUAGAAAUCUUUAAAAAAUUAUAUAUAGCCAAAACAACUAAAAAGACAAACACUAUUUAUGUAAGAUAGAAAAAGCCAAAUAUCAUAUAGUUAGAAUGUAUAAAAUUCACUCCUCUAGGAACAUCAUAUUUACAAAUCAUUUGCUUUAGUGUUAUAAGAACUGCAAUACUAUGAAAUACUUUCAAAGAACCCCAUCCACUGGAAUUGGAAACAUGGAAAAAUGAAUAGGAAAAUGCUGCUGUUUUCUUAUACAAACAGUAAAAUCUAUGAUUCUGCCAUUAACUGGAAUGUUCAGAAAACAUUUUAAUCAUUUUAACUCUUUGUGGAAAAUGUCUCAAAAACAUAUUUCUUUCUAGACUUUAUAACCUUAGUCUUUCAAUAAAUCUAGCCCAUUCAUAGUAA